GACGAACGCUGGCGGCGUGCCUAACACAUGCAAGUCGAGCGAGGAGGAGAUAGCUUGCUAUCGAAUCCUAGCGGCGGACGGGUGAGUAACGCGUGAGCAAUCUGCCUCAAACAGGGGGAUAACGCAUCGAAAGAUGUGCUAAUACCGCGUAAGACCACAGCACCGCAUGGUGCAGGGGUCAAAGGAGCAAUCCGGUUUGAGAUGAGCUCGCGUCCGAUUAGCUAGUUGGUGAGAUAACAGCCCACCAAGGCGACGAUCGGUAGCCGACCUGAGAGGGUGAUCGGCCACAUUGGAACUGAGACACGGUCCAG
rnacentral:rRNA from 1 species